rnacentral:rRNA from 1 species
GACGAACGCUGGCGGCGUGCCUAACACAUGCAAGUCGAGCGAAUGAAGUUCCUUCGGGAACGGAUUUAGCGGCGGACGGGUGAGUAACACGUGGGCAACCUACCUCAUAGAGGGGGAAUAGCCUUCCGAAAGGGAGAUUAAUACCGCAUAAGAUUGUAGUACCGCAUGGUACAGCAAUUAAAGGAGCAAUCCGCUAUGAGAUGGGCCCGCGGCGCAUUAGCUAGUUGGUGAGGUAACGGCUCACCAAGGCGACGAUGCGUAGCCGACCUGAGAGGGUGAUCGGCCACAUUGGGACUGAGACACGGCCCAGACUCCUACGGGAGGCAGCAGUGGGGAAUAUUGCACAAUGGGGGAAACCCUGAUGCAGCAACGCCGCGUGAGUGAUGACGGCCUUCGGGUUGUAAGGACUCUGUCUUCAGGGACGAGUAAUGACGGUACCGUGAGGAGGAAGCCACGGCAACUACGUAGCCAGCAGCCGCGGUAAGCUCGUCUCUA